rnacentral:rRNA from 1 species
AACGAACGCUGGCGGCAUGCCUAACACAUGCAAGUCGAACGAGACCUUCGGGUCUAGUGGCGCACGGGUGCGUAACGCGUGGGAACCUGCCCUUAGGUUCGGAAUAACUCCCCGAAAGGGGUGCUAAUACCGGAUAAUGUCUUCGGACCAAAGAUUUAUCGCCUUUGGAUGGGCCCGCGUUGGAUUAGCUAGUUGGUAGGGUACAAGCCUACCAAGGCGACGAUCCAUAGCUGGUCUGAGAGGAUGAUCAGCCACACUGGGACUGAGACACGGCCCAGACUCCUACGGGAGGCAGCAGUGGGGAAUAUUAGACAAUGGGCGAAAGCCUGAUCCAGCAAUGCCGCGUGAGUGAUGAAGGCCUUAGGGUUGUAAAGCUCUUUUACCCGGGAUGAUAAUGACAGUACCGGGAGAAUAAGCUCCGGCUAACUCCGUG